CCCACCUCGGGGGUCGCUCCAGAGGCGAUGCGAGCCAGCAGCAGCGACACCCGCGUGCUCCCCUAGGGGUGCGGCUCAGUCCGUUGUGAUUUAACGCCUGCUCCCCGGGCCAGGUGCCGGUGACAGGUGGUUGUGCCCUGCGCGGCCGUCGCCCCCCGCUGUGCCGGCCCGCUCCACCCCACGCACCUGGCAGCGGGGCGCUUCCCGCCCAAACGCCCCGCCGAACGCCUCGCGGGUUCCGCUGGCUCGGAGCGGAGCGAGGCGUUUUCCAGAACGCCGAUGGGGGGAGGCGGUGAGGAGCCGUCGAGGAGAGAUGGCCCGUCCUGCCAGUCGGCGUGUUCCCAUAGAACCUGCCUCAAGGUUUCCGCGGCUCUGAGGGCUCUUCAUAUGGUGAGAACCGAAGGGAGAAUCCUUGUUCUUCCCUGUUCACCUUCCUAAGAUACCUUCUGCUUGUGUAGAGACGUUGUGUCCAAGAGGAAGAAAUGUGAGGAACCACACAUCUGUGAGGCCCUAUCAAGUAUCAUUUGGAACACUUUUUUCAAUAAUGUAGAAACACAUCUUUGAAAUGAAAAUACAUGGACUUAGAAAACUUAAGUCUUCAUUAGUGCAUAUAAUCCAACUUCUUAAAACAAGAAAUCACUACGUUUUAUUCUCACUUUUUGUUGUUUGUUCAUUAACACAUUGUCAUUGUAGACCCUAGCAUGCAAGGAGACAUCAAAUUAUCCUUUGUCUCCUUUCACCCUCUAGUUAUUUUCUGUCCUGAAGCUCUGACAACUUUACCCACUCAGGUGCUAUUAUAGACUACAGAGGCAACAUUUACCCAAACUUUGUUUAGAACUACAUUAAAAGAAAAUAUUUGUUCUUAUCAGGGUACAGUAGUAACUGUAAUGAGUCAGCCUUGUCACACAGUAAUAAUUACUGUAUUUUAACUACAUAAUAAACGCUCUUGAUAGCAUUUGAUAAACA
rnacentral:lncRNA from 1 species